GACCGAGCUUUAUGAUCUGGCGCCGAGU
rnacentral:sRNA from 1 species